AAGAAUCUGAACCACUAAAAU
rnacentral:piRNA from 1 species